rnacentral:rRNA from 1 species
CUACGGGAGGCAGCAGUGAGGGAUAUUGCGCAAUGGGCGAAAGCCUGACGCAGCGACGCCGCGUGGGUGAAGAAGGGUUUCGGCUCGUAAAGCCCUUUUCUGUGUGACGAUAAUGACGGUAGCACGGGAAGAAGUGUCGGCUAACUACGUGCCAGCAGCCGCGGUAAAACGUAGGACGCGAACGUUAUCCGGAAUUACUGGGCGUAAAGGGCGCGCAGGCGGUGGUUUAAGUUAGGCAUGAAAGCUCCCAGGCUAAACCGGGAGAGGAUGUCUGAUACUGGAUCACUAGAGUGUGAUAGAGGGGUGUAGAAUUCCGCGUGUAGUGGUGAAAUGCGUAGAUAUGCGGAGGAAUACCAGUGGCGAAGGCGGCACCCUGGAUCAGCACUGACGCUGAGGCGCGAAAGCAUGGGUAGCGAACGGGAUUAGAAACCCGUGUAGUCC